rnacentral:rRNA from 1 species
CAGUCGCCGCGGUAAUACGUAGGUGGCAAGCGUUGUCCGGAAUUAUUGGGCGUAAAGGGCUCGCAGGCGGUUUCUUAAGUCUGAUGUGAAAGCCCCCGGCUCAACCGGGGAGGGCCAUUGGAAACUGGGAACCUUGAGUGCAGAAGAGGAGAGUGGAAUUCCACGUGUAGUGGUGAAAUGCGUAGAGAUGUGGAGGAACACCAGUGGCGAAGGCGACUCUCUGGUCUGUAACUGACGCUGAGGAGCGAAAGCGUGGGGAGCGAACAGGAUUAGAUACCCCCGUAGUCCCUGUCUCUUAUAC